GUGGUUGGACGGCAUCUAAUCUCUCUCUCUCUCUCUCUCUCUCUCUCACACACACACACACACACACAGAGAGAGAGAGAGAGAGAGAGAGAGAGAGAGAGAGUGUAUUGGUGAGUUUUCUU